AACGAACGCUGGCGGCAGGCCUAACACAUGCAAGUCGAACGCUCGUAGCAAUACGAGAGUGGCAGACGGGUGAGUAACACGUGGGAACCUUCCCUAUGGUUCGGAAUAGCUCAGGGAAACUUGAGGUAAUACCGGAUAAGCCCUUACGGGGAAAGAUUUAUCGCCAAUGGAUGGGCCCGCGUCGGAUUAGCUAGUUGGUGAGGUAACGGCUCACCAAGGCGACGAUCCGUAGCUGGUCUGAGAGGAUGAUCAGCCAUACUGGGACUGAGACACGGCCCAGACUCCUACGGGAGGCAGCAGUGGGGAAUAUUGGACAAUGGGCGCAAGCCUGAUCCAGCCAUGCCGCGUGAGUGACGAAGGCCUUAGGGUUGUAAAGCUCUUUUGGCGGGGAAGAUAAUGACGGUACCCGCAGAAUAAGCUCCGGCUAACUUCGUGCCAGCCGCCGCCGUAAAAC
rnacentral:rRNA from 1 species